CAGCAGCCACGGUAAUACGAAGGGGGCUAGCGUUGCUCGGAAUUACUGGGCGUAAAGGGCGCGUAGGCGGACAGUUAAGUUGGGGGUGAAAGCCCGGGGCUCAACCUCGGAAUUGCCUUCAAUACUGGCUGUCUUGAGUAUGAGAGAGGUGUGUGGAACUCCGAGUGUAGAGGUGAAAUUCGUAGAUAUUCGGAAGAACACCAGUGGCGAAGGCGACACACUGGCUCAUUACUGACGCUGAGGCGCGAAAGCGUGGGGAGCAAACAGGAUUAGAUACCCGCGUAGUCCCUGUCUCUUAUAC
rnacentral:rRNA from 1 species